rnacentral:rRNA from 1 species
UGGGGAAUAUUGCACAAUGGGCGAAAGCCUGAUGCAGCAACGCCGCGUGAGUGAUGAAGGCCUUCGGGUUGUAAAGCUCUGUCUUUUGGGACGAUAAUGACGGUACCAAACGGAGGAAGCCACGGCUAACUACGUGCCAGCAGCCGCGGUAAUACGUAGGUGGCAAGCGUUGUCCGGAUUUACUGGGCGUAAAGGAUGCGUAGGCGGAUUUUUAAGUGAGAUGUGAAAACCCUAAGCUUAACUUGGGGACUGCAUUUCAUACUGGAAAUCUAGAGUGCGGGAGAGGAGAAUGGAAUUCCUAGUGUAGCGGUGAAAUGCGUAGAGAUUAGGAAGAACACCAGUGGCGAAGGCGAUUCUCUGGACCGUAACUGACGCUGAGGCAUGAAAGCGUGGGUAGCAAACAGGAUUAGAUACCCUGGUAGUCCACGCCGUAAACGAUGAGUACUAGGUGUAGGAGGUAUCGACCCCUUCUGUGCCGCAGUUAACACAAUAAGUACUCCGCCUGGGGAAGUACGAUCGCAAGAUUAAAAA